GCCCUGGCCUUCUCACACUCUGUUUUUCUCUCAAAAGUAAAUAAACAUUAAAAAAAAUUUUUUUAAGAGAAAUGGGGAUCAUAGUUGAACUAAAUAUAGAUUUGUUAAAUUAAUAAGGUUCUUUAAGAUUAUAGAUAAACAGAGGAAUUGGGGACUUGAAAUGUCAUCUUAAGAACCAUCUGCAAAGUGGAUAAUUGCCCAAAUACUUGUCCAAUGUUGGAUAUACCAUGACUUUUUUUGCACACUUAUGGUGUGAGUUAAGACGAGUUAUGUCCAUGAUGUUUUAUCUUGAGAAUUGUUAUUCACAUACUAAUGAAAAUAAUUAUUUUUUUCUUUGAGAAAACCAUGAGAAAAAAGAGAAAAUGGCAACUUUCCUAUUUAAUAACUUGUCUUUCUGUCUUAGGAAAAGACAGAGGCUUUACCUGAGAAACAAAAACUCAAACACCUGGGGCUGACAGAGUUUGACGUCCCAGCUUUUUGGAUCCCUGAAAGGAUUACAGCAUGAUUUUACAACCUCUCACAAACCGCUCCUCUACCAAUGAAAAUUACUAGAUGCUUCUAUCUUUU